AUUGAACGCUGGCGGCAGGCUUAACACAUGCAAGUCGAGCGAGCGGCGGACGGGUGAGUAAUGUCUGGGAAACUGCCUGAUGGAGGGGGAUAACUACUGGAAACGGUAGCUAAUACCGCAUACUAUCAGAUGAACCCAGAUGGGAUUAGCUAGUAGGUGGGGUAAAGGCUCACCUAGGCGACGAUCCCUAGCUGGUCUGAGAGGAUGACCAGCCACACUGGGACUGAGACACGGCCCAGACUCCUACGGGAGGCAGCAGUGGGGAAUAUUGCGCAAUGGGGGCAACCCUGAUGCAGCCAUGCCGCGUGAAUGAAGAAGGCCUUCGGGUUGUAAAGUUCUUUCGGUAGCGAGGCGUUAACUACAGAAGAAGCACCGGCUAACUCCGUGCCAGCAGCCGCGGUAAUAC
rnacentral:rRNA from 1 species